UAUCACACACAUGCAAUGAAUUUGGGGGUUUAGGGUAUCGAGUCUAGAGCAAUGAGUCCAUGGGCAUGGGCAGCUGAUGGGAACAAGGCGCCUGAUUUGAUGCUACUGCUCGGGUUCAGGGCUGCAUCACACACACUGGUGCACCAGUAGUUUACUCAUGGCAAACCUCAAGCUGCGUUUACUUUUGGGAAGAUGGGGAAAAACUUAAUGAAUGUUUGCACAUACAUCUGAUAGCACCAGGGAGAUUUAUACUUCCCUUGAUAAUUCCCUGAGAUGCUGAAAUAAGUUUGGGGUUUAUUGUUGGGUGUCUCUAUUGAGUUUGGUUGAGCCAGCUUGAUUGAGAUUAAGGGGAUGACACGAUGUUGGUGAAAAUUGUGGGAAUGAAAGGGCAGCUGGAUUUAUCAUUCAAAUGUCCAUUUGGGGAAGCUCCCCAAAUAGACAACCAAGCAAGCUUCCCAGUACAUACACCAAAGUUGUCUCAGGGAAGAAUUCUUUGUUGGGGUGUUAAUAUAUGGCUUGUUUCUUGUUUGUAACUGUACAAGUUAAAUAAAUACAGCUUCCUUAUCUCAUUUAGUUGUCCAUUGUGACUUGCUCAUUCCAUUAUUUGUCUCUUGCAGGAGGAAGCUUCAGCGAUCAAGUCGGCUAGCAAAUCAUGGUACAAGACCAUGAUCUCGGAUAGUGACUACACAGAAUUUGAGAACUUCACAAAGUGGUUGGGUGUGUCUCAGUGAUUCAAAUCUUGAUUUAACUUAGUUAUAGUCUUUAUAUUAAUCUUGAACUCUUUUACUGUUUUUUGCCAUAUACUUGUAUUCUGUAUAUAUCUCAACUUCAUGCUUAUGUUGUUAGGUCAUAGUAUUCUUAUAACCUGUAGAUGGAUGUCUAAUCUUUUGCUUUAAGAAGAUUUUCCUUUCCCAUGAAGAUUACAUGCUUUCAUUUUGAUUAUUUCUUGAACCCAGAGGAAGAUUAACUGAAGUUACUAAGAGAAAACUUGUUGGAAACAAUGAAACCAAAACAUAGAUUUUUUCAAGUUAUUGUAUGUUUGUGAGUGAUCUGCCAGUCCAAACCAACCACCACCCAUUUGUAUAUAGAUUUAAGAGCUUUAUAUUCUGAUGAAGAUGAUAGCAGGAUCUCAAUGUAGCUGUAGUAGGAUUGUGAAGGGAUGAUUCGAGAUGUUGUUCUGGAAAUUCUAGUUCUGCAUCUUGCUUUAAUUAUUUAAGUAAUAGGAUUGCAGUCUCGUUAUGCUGCUAAAUGCUGAUUAUUUCUGUACAAUAUGGUCCUCUUUUAGGAAUAAGAAUACUGCAGGAUGUUCUGAUUUUCUAGACCUGAUGUUGCAUCUAUAUUGUUCUUAUGAUAGAGCUUCAACACUUAAGGAACAGUCUCCCAGCAAAUUUUUAGUUUCUUUACAUGGCACAUAGUAUAAGCAUAGUAUAAGCAUAGAAAAAACAAUCAACAUCAGAGAACCGCGAUACUGAGGUAAACUGCAAGUGCUUUCAUGUAUUUGCACUAUGCUCCAUUGUGAUAAGUAUUCUCAAUGUGUACAUGUGUACGAAUAAUUCUCACAGAUAAAGAAGGAAUCUGGGUUUAGAGAUUCAUCUUACCUGCCUUGCGAAGACCAUGAGCGAGCUGAUGAGGAUGUGGAUAUUGGUGGAAAUGAUCCGCCUCCAAUUUCCAGUUCACCUCCAAUUUGGAUUGAUAAGGAUGAUGCUGAAAGGAAUAGUAACUGCAGUGGUUCAAGAAGCUCCAGUAGUGAAUCAGGCACCUCAUCUACUGGUGGCAAUAACAGUUAGCAGGAAGAUAGGAAGCUAGAUGUGGCAUUUUGGUUGGUGUUUUGUAUGUCUUUUGAAUCUAGAAAAAAUGUAAGAAUUUGGUGAAGCAAGUGUUGAACACCAUUUUUUUGUUAAUAUUGUUUGGAUGUAAAUUACAUGACUACUUUUGGUACUUGGAAGCUACAAUGUAUGGAAGUUUAAGUUAUGUUAUAUAAUAUGUUUUGGAUUGUAUUA